rnacentral:lncRNA from 1 species
AGACACGUGGGAGGCAGCCAUGUAGGUGAACACUGCAGCUCACACCUGCCCUGUGUCCUCCGUGGGUGACACCCGGCGGUCCACACCUGAAGCCCUGAUGCCUGGGGGUUCUCUAGAUGUCUGGGGACUGCGUCUAUUCAGCCCGUGCCCCCUGUGCUAUGGUGAAUUUCCCAUUCUCCCUUGUGGGGAGAAUGAAGAAGUCAUGUGACAAACUUCUGACCAAAGGAGCAAAGAUUGGCACCCCACUGGAAGGUCAACGCAGCUUCUUCAGCCUCUGAUGUAGACUGAAGACCAACAAUCCUACAGAAAGCUUCCGGCCUUCUGACACUAAGCUAGGGCUACUGAGACCUCCAGGCCCGGGGUAUCGCUUCCCAGAGAACCCAACACGCAGGCAGUUGUUGGGCUACAAGGCUGUACCAUUCCAUAUUCUGAAUUCCACAUCCCCAGAUUCAAACAGCUAUGACUGUGAACAGUCAGCCACACACCUCGAUCAUAGACUGGCCUCUCCCUUGGCGCCCGGCAAACAAUACAAGAUCAGUGCUGGUUCCAUGAUGCGUACAGCACCUAGAGAAACCUGAAGUUUUCCAGACCGCCCCGCUGCCAUGGCAACAGCAGGAGAAACAAACAAAGCUCACAUCAAGCGACUGAACACAAAGCCUGUACCAUUAUUUUAACAAUCAGCAAUGGCCGUGUGAGAGCAGCAGGCUUUCAGGGCACCGCCACCAACGUGUCUCUCUUGAGAUGCCUUGAAGUGCUCACCGACACGUGGGCGCCUUGGCACUCAGAUCAUGUCUCCAGCUUGGAGUUCCCACUUGUAUAGACCCUUACUGCUGACAGCAGUCACCAAUUCCUGGGCUUGGGAAGCCAGGUGGCCAAAUGGUUAGAGGCUCCAGCCUCAGGCCAAGCAGCCCUGGGUGCAAAUCCAAGCCCUGCACCUUCCAAGCUGGGGAUGGAAGAAAGGGCAGCACUGGUACAACUACAUCUCCCUGCUG